AAGUAACAGGGAAACGUGUGCCCGAUGAUCCUCUCAGCAGAAUGAAUGACACAUAGUCUGGACUUGGAAAGGGCAGAGGCAGAUGGGAACCAGAUGGAGAUGGAGGUGAUGAGGAUGCUCUCUGUGGAGGCUGAGUAAAAGUUGACCAGUAUUGACUUUGAGAACAGCUUUUGUGUGGCUUUCCUGACACUGGCAUGAGAUCAUGCAGAUAAAGGUCAGUUGACAGCAGUGUCGAGCAGAAAAGUAUCUCAGAAUGCAUGUGGAUGAUCUACAACAACGGAAGACCACAGCUGAGUCGACGACACACACACAGGACUGCUUAGGACGGCAAAAAUUAGAUAAUGUUUCAUUCUAAUUGACUAUGAGGUUUUGAUUCGUUUUCAUAACAUCAUCUCAGACCGUAGCUCCAUCCUAACAAUUUUGUCUUUGAAUCAUACUAAUGUUUAUCUAAUAUCCACAGAAACCUGUAUGCUAGACACCGA